UACGAAGGGGCUAGCGUUGUUCGGAAUUACUGGGCGUAAAGAGCGUGUAGGCGGCCAGGCAGGUCCGCUGUGAAAACUCGAGGCUCAACCUCGAGACGUCGAUGGAAACCAUCUGGCUAGAGUCCGGAAGAGGAGAGUGGAAUUCCUGGUGUAGCGGUGAAAUGCGCAGAUAUCAGGAAGAACACCCGUGGCGAAGGCGGCUCUCUGGUACGUGACUGACGCUGAGACGCGAAAGCGUGGGGAGCGAACAGG
rnacentral:rRNA from 1 species